rnacentral:tRNA from 1 species
GCGAGAGUGAUGGAAUUGGCAGACAUCGGCGACUUAGGAUCGUCGGCCUAACGGCGUGGGGGUUCGAGUCCCCCCUCUCGCACCA